ensembl:misc_RNA Y_RNA Y RNA
AGCUGGUCCGACGGCAGUGGGUUAUCAGAACUUAUUAACAUUAGUGUCACUAAAGUUGUUAUACCACCCCCCCACUGCUAAAUUUGACUGGCUUUAA